UAGAAUGAUGAUAUAUGCACUGGGCUCUGAGCAGUUUUUUACUGUUAUUUUGAUGGAAAUGCAGCCUAGAAAGCUAUAUCUGACUU